rnacentral:SRP_RNA from 1 species
GCUGGGUGUGGUGGUGUGCGUCUGUAGUCCCAGCUACUUGGGAGGCAGAGGUGGGAGGAUCACUUGAGCCCAGGAAUUCCAAGCUGUAGCGGGCUAUGAACACACCAGUGCACUCCAGCCUGGGCAACAGAGUGAGACCCCGUCUCAA